AUUUGCAGAUGCUCUCACCGAAGUCUUGGCGAAUUUUGCGGUUUUUGGUGAGGACGGAAGAAUUUGGAGAGUCGAAGAAACGGGAUCACUGACACGCAUACGUUAAAGUAUAGAUCCGGGUGCAAUGAAGGGGCCGAUCGCUCUUGAUUAAUGGCCAGGAUUAUGGCAAUACCCAGUUUAGAACCCAAGUUCCUUCGGAAAUGCUCUUCCAAGGCUGCUGUUAGUAAGGGACUGCUUGGCAGUAUUUUAAGUAUGAAAAUUCAUUAAAGAAAGGAAUAUCUUCACUUAGAUACCACAAGAUGGAAUGUCAUCAUGCAAGCCCCACCACUUUAACGUGCACACCAACAUCAGAUAAACAGUCAAAAGAGACAGGGAAUGCUUCAUUCAUUCAUCUUGUAUAGAAGCCAUUUCAAACCAGUGAGUCUUUUCCCUCCAAAUUGCCAAUCUUGAACACCCUCCUGGUAGCUACUACUAAUCAGCCUUCAGCACGCAUUUGUGAAAAACAGGCCUGCAAGACUAUCUUUGUCUCAUUUUUUAAAUAGAUGACUCUGUUAAUAAACUGAGGGAAUGCUGAGGAUAACUUGAUUUCAAGAAAGCAUUUAACAAAAUACUUCAAAGCAUUUUGAUUCAAGCAGACUAAUUAAGAAUAAGCUGUAUGGAAGUAAUGAAGGCCAAAGCUACUUGAAAGAUUUUUCUUAGACAGUAUUCAUCAAAGGCUUCUCAUCAAACUGGAGAAAAGUUAAAGAGAAUUGGAUGUUGAAUUGGGUACGCAUCAAGGGAAAGUAGAAGAUAUGCUUAUCAGAUCUGAAAAUAUAAAACUAGAUAUAGUGUAAAAGACAGAAGCAAUAUCCAAAAUGAACUUUUUUAUUUGGAGAAAAGUUUUAUUUAAAUUUUUAUGCUAAAGAAGUAAGCUGAAAACAACAUAGUGAAAUUUAAUAGAGAUAAAUACUAAUUUCACAGCAUCAUUUCAGCAGAAAUUAUAAUUUCCAGACCAUAUUCUAGUUUGUUGUAUUUUGGUCAGUCCACUGUCUAAAUAUUGGUUUCAAGUAUUGGUUUCACCCUUUCUGAGUUGUAUAGUCCACAGUUUAAUAAUUCAGACAAACCAGACCACAUUUACAGAAGUUCUGUGAAGAGAAUUUGAAGGAAUUAGAAUGUUCAAUCAUGAGAAGACUAGAAGUGAGAUGGUUAUGCUUUUCAAAUGCUCAAAAGUAUAUCACAAGAAGAGGAGCAAAAUCUCUUCUCUAUCAUCCCAGUGUGUAUUGUGUGGAAUAAUAGAUUCAAGUAAUAGGAAGCUUCUGGUUGAAUGAUAGAACAAUCAGAACCCAAUUAUUUAGUGAGAUUGUAGAUUUCUUUUCAAUGGAUGUGUUCAAACAAGAGCUGUAAACCCAUCUGUCAAGAAUACUUUAAUUUUUCCCAUAGUCAAUGAGGGAUUGGAGUGGAUGACCUAAAUGGCAAUUUCCAACUGUAUGAUUCUAUUUUAAAAUAAGAUCAUUAACAUUUGGGGAAAGUUUUUUUCCUUCCAAGCAAAUUGCUAGCAUAUCUUUGAAUUUGAAAAACACUGAUUAUGUUACCUAGUUUGGAUAAUGAAAUGUCUACAAGAAAACAAGCAAGAGAGUACCAAGGACCCCUCAUUUCAACCCUGAACUACAAAUAUUGUCCUUUAUUAGAAUUUUACCUUCCCUUAUAGGGACUGACUUAAUAUAGAUAUUUGUGAACCACUAUAAGAAAUGUUAAAUAAAAGACACUUAAGUAAA